CCAGUUGCCGAAGACUUUGGCCGCUGUAAUGCUGUUUUCAUUAUGUUGCGUCCGACUCUUCUUAAGAUGUUUUCGCGUAGCAAGGCGCUCUGGCGAUUUAUUAAUGUUGCAGCAACAGCUACCACCAUUGCAAACCCGACACCGACCCACGUUUCCAGCUGUUUCGAAAGGGUUUGCCAAGAAGAAAAACAACAGUCCAACGAAAGGAGAAAAAAACACGAAAAUCAACAACACGCACGCUCCCAACAAAUGGCAGAAACCCUAGGCGGAGGCGUUUUGGGGAGUAAAAAUAAAAUCAAUACAGUAAAAUCAGACCGAACCACGGCGCGAGUACAAAUAAACUCAUGCAAUGGUUAAGUAUGCCAGAAGGCAAUGAAUGCAAAGAGAAAUAAAAGCCACCCCAGCCAGCAUAAGAUACGAGCACAACAUACGUCGGCGGUUUUGGGUGAAAUUCACGACAAAUGUAUUACGUAAAAUAAAACCUACAAAACUGUCGAUACCCAUCGCAAACGCUUGAGAUCUUGGAGUUGUGUGUUGUGUGGUUCCUGUUUUGCCCUGCCAUGCCCUGAUCGGUGAGAAGGUCGAUGAAGCCGUUCCGACGAUCGGGACGAUGCAAGAUUAGACUCGCGUUCAAGGUUACAACAAGAACCGCCUGGAAUGUUUGUUUUCCUGAGCUGGUAAAGUAUUUUCCUUUUGCUGCUAGAAUGCGCUGUAAUGAGCCGAAUGCUUAAGAUAACGGCACAUUCGAUCAUAAAUAUUUGUAAACCGAUAAUGGGAAGUUAUACGGAUAAUUGGACGAUACCACUCAAAAAAUAAAACCUACUCUAUAAAGAAGUAAUUUAAUUGAAUCUCUCUCUCUCUCUCUCCGCUUCUUGAUCACUCGAUCGAACCAUCGUAAAAGAAAUUUUCGCGACAUUUCACGCGACAACAGCAAACGAACAGCGGUGGGAGAGCAGAUUUGAGUAAUGUUUUUGUGUUAUGAAAUAAAGUGUAAUCAGCCAAUCCCGGCCGCUCCGAUCAGUUGGGGCCCGAUACCGCCCACGGUACAGAACUCAGCGAACGGAAGGGGGCCCACACUGAAGAAAUAAAUCAUUACCGAUGCUGUUCGUUUCCCUUUCGUUCGCGUUCGGGUUUGUUGCUCCAGUUUACUGGACUCUUGAGCCGGGUCGGUAAGCUUACGCUCGUUGCGCUUUGUUGGUAGAUUCAAUUAUAAAUGCUUGAUUAUGCGAACCAUCCGGGGCGGUAUGGGGCUGGUCUGGCCUUUUGCCACAUCCCGGAUACGUAGCGGGAAGCGCUCAUGUGUAGGUGCUCCGAUCAUCAUUUGGUGGUUGUAUCUCCAUCAGAUGGCCUAUUUGUUGCAGUUCGCGGCCUUCCGGCGGAUAUCAAUAAUUUGUCCUGCUAUGUGGGACUUUAACCGAUUCGACCCGAUGUUGAAGGUGCUAUUUAAGGGAUAAGAAAGAUUUAUGCCGGUGUUGUCCUUGCAGAAGGAAAUGAACAACAAAUUUUCCAAUUUAUUUCUUUCCUCCAGAACCAAUGUAUGAUUUUGGUUUUUGGUUUAACACAACAGGAAAAAAGUGAAAGUAAAAAGCGCAAAAAGGGUUGAUGCGAGCUCGCCCGCAGCGCUCAGUUCGUGCUGUGCGAAUUGCAUAACGAAAGGCGUUUAUAUGUUUUUGAAUAAUUCAGAAACAGGCAGUACCGAAAAACGGCAUUAGAGCAUUAAGUGUUAAAAGUUCGCAUAAAUGUUGCCUCUAACUGUAUUCGAACGUCCUUUAAAUGUAAUAUAUGUAGAAAUGAGCACGAACAAAACGAGUAUUGAUUUGUUUAAAAACUUUUAUUUCUCCCUAAGAUUGUGUUACAACUCGUACAAUUGUCUGUGGUUGUUUUGUGUAUGGUUCUGUUUAUCAACUUAUUCUAUAACGUUUCUUUUUCUUUCCAUUUCGUCACACGCCUAACGACUCCUUCCCGCGCUCUGCUCUGGAAGAAAUCUCACAAAUACACACACGCACUGUACAGAAACCAUUGAGCACAGUUCAAUGCAGAAAUACGUAUUCAACAUAAAUAAAAUAGUAAAACGAAUUUUUCAUAACUUACCACAUAAGUAGUUUACUUGUGAGUGCAGAUGUAAAAACAAUUUAGAAUUUAAAACAACAACGUCUUCUACUUUUUGAGCACACUCUAUCCUACCUGCACCAAUCACUCAACUCACAAAGCGAAACACUUGCUUUUGUACAUUGUUUUCACAUUGUACAUUACAACCGCACUACGUUGUGUCUUGUGUGACCGUUUUGUUCUAUUCCGAACGAGUUGACUUCACUUGUUGUUAAUCCCCAAAAAAAAAAUAAAUAAAAAAAACUCUCGCCCGUACCUGAAUGGCGCAUGAUGAUUGGCCACCAUUUGCUUUGUGAACCGAUUAAUUGAUUUCAAUCGGUUUUUAAACAUAUUCAUUCAUUAAUAUAAUUAUGUACACUACUUGUUUCCUUCUCUCUCUCUCUCUCUCUCGCGCGCGCGCGAACUCUAUUUGUUGUGGUUGUAAUCGGCCGCCUAUGCGAACUUUGGCACGGGAUCAGGCAUCUCGGUUGGGAACAGUGGGAAAGGAUGAUUUAAGGUUUGGCACGGUGUCUACAAGGAUGUGAGCAAGGAGACAGUGAUGAUAAUUAAAAGUCGUAUCCUGGUCAUUACAAAACCACGAUUACCGGCACAUCAAGCCGAAUCGAUUUCGCUCCUGCUGCUUAACCCUCACAAGAAGCUGGCUAAAGAGUACAGCGAGCUACUCCACUUUUCAAUUGGGAUCCUUUCAUCAGCUUAAUUGAACACAUUCAAAGCAAUGUUUAAAGGGCGGUAGCUGGUAGGAACCAAACGAA